UAAAAAUAAAUAAGCCAAUGAAAAGAUGGUAUACGGCAGGAGGGUAUUUAGUGAGUAUACUAGUUUUAUUCUCUCUCCUCCUUUUUAAUUUUUAAUUUUUAAUUUUUAUUUGUUUAGAUAUCUACUAAAUAGUCACCGAUGACUAAUAUUUUUUUUAU
rnacentral:sRNA from 1 species